GAUAAACGCUGGCGGCGUGCUUCAGGCAUGCAAGUCGAACGGACCUUCGGGUCAGUGGCGGACGGGUGAGUAACACGUAAGUAACCUGCCCAGAAGUGGGGAAUAACUAGCCGAAAGGCUGGCUAAUACCGCAUGUGAUGGUUGUUCUCUGGAGCAACCAUGAAAGGCGAAAGUCGCUUCUGGAGGGGCUUGCGGCCGAUUAGCUAGUUGGUGGGGUAAAGGCCUACCAAGGCUUCGAUCGGUAGCUGGUCUGAGAGGACGGACAGCCACACGGGGACUGAGAUACGGCCCCGACUCCUACGGGAGGCAGCAGCUAGGAAUCUUGGGAAUGGGCGAAAGCCUGACCCAGCAACGCCGCGUGGGCGAUGAAGGCCUUCGGGUCGUAAAGCCCUUUUGCAGGGGACGAUGAUGACGGUACCCUGCGAAUAAGCCACGGCUAACUACGUGCCAGCCGCCGCCGUAAGAC
rnacentral:rRNA from 1 species